CGGGCAGCCGGGGGGGCCCGGAGCUGCGGGAGGAUCGGAGCAACCCGCCCCCCCCCCCCCCCCCGGUCCACAACAGCGGAGCCCCGCGGGCGACGCCGACAAACGGCCGCUUCUGCUUUUGCUCCCCUCGUUUUUUAGUUUUUCUCCCUUCGUUUUCAUCCCCUUUUUAAUUUUUUUGGUUCUCUUUUUGCUUUUUCUCUUUUUCCCCUCUAUUUUCCCCCUUUUUCACAGUUCGUCUUCUUUUUUUUUUUUCCCCUAUCUUUUCUUUUCUUUUUUUUCCUCCUAUUUUAUUCCCAGCUAUUUUUUUCCUCAUCUCAAUUUUUUUUAUUUUCUUCUCUUUCGUCUAUUUUUUCUCUUUUUUCUUUUUUUUCUCUUUCUCUUUUUUCUCUUUUUUUCUCUUUUUCUCUUUUCUCUUUAUUCUCUUUUUAUUUUUUCUCUUUCUAUUUUUUCUUUUUUUUCUUUCUAUUUUUUCUCUUUAUUGUUUCUCUUUUUUUCCUCUCCUCCUUUUUUCCUCUUUAUUUAUUUAUGUUUUUAUUUUUUCCUCCUUUUUCUGCUCUAUUUCUCUCUUUAUUUUUUUUAUUUCCAUUUUUCUCCUUCUUUCUUUUUUUUAUUUCUUCUUUUCUUUCUUUUUCCCCCCUCAUUUAUUUUUCUCUUUUUAUUUUAUCCACUUCUUAUUUUUUCUCUUUCUCCUCUUUUUAUUUUUUCUCUUUUUAAAUUCUCUCUUCUUUCACUUUUUCCCCUUUCCCUCCCUUUUUAUUUUUCCCCUUUCCCCCCUUUUUAAUUUUUCUCUUUCUCAUUUUUCCCCACUUCCUAUUUUUUUCUCCUUAUUUUUUUCCUCCUCUUAAUUGUUCUCUUUUCACUUCCACUUUCCCCCUUUUUCAUUCAUAUUUUCCUCCACUUUCCCCUUUCCCCUCCCUCUUUUUAUUCCAACUGGCAUUUAUUUAUUUACCCCCCCGCCCCCUUUUUUUUUUUUAAAAAAAAUCUUUUAUAUCUUUAUUUACUCCCAUUACUCCGCACAUCUUCCCGCACGGAUCCUGCAUCCUACAAACC
rnacentral:lncRNA from 1 species